rnacentral:rRNA from 1 species
UACGUAGGGUGCGAGCGUUAAUCGGAAUUACUGGGCGUAAAGCGUGCGCAGGCGGUUUUGUAAGUCUGUCGUGAAAUCCCCGGGCUCAACCUGGGGAAUUGCGAUGGAGACUGCAAGGCUAGAAUCUGGCAGAGGGGGGGUAGAAUUCCACGUGUAGCAGUGAAAAUGCGUAGAGAUGUGGAGGAACACCGAUGGCGAAGGCAGCCCUC